rfam:Psychromonas ingrahamii 37, complete genome.
GAAGUUGAUUCGCAAACCUGGGGAAACCUUGGGGCGCAAAGCUAUAGGGCCUGUAAAAUGGUAGCCAGUUGCCGAA